UUUUAGCGGCGGACGGGUGAGUAACGUGUGGGUAACCUGCCUUUUACUGUGGAAUAAUCGUUGGAAACGACGACUAAUACCGCAUACGAUUUUCUGAAGGCAUCUUCGGAAAAAGAAAGGAAAUAUUCGGUAAAAGAUGGGCCCGCAUCUGAUUAGCUAGUUGGUGAGAUAAUAGCCCACCAAGGCAACGAUCAGUAGCCGACCUGAGAGGGUGACCGGCCACAUUGGGACUGAGACACGGCCCAAACUCCUACGGAAGGCAGCAG
rnacentral:rRNA from 1 species